UACAGAGGUCUCAAGCGUUGUUCGGAUUCAUUGGGCGUAAAGGGUGCGUAGGUGGCGCCGUAAGUCAGGUGUGAAAUUUCGGAGCUUAACUCCGAAACUGCAUUUGAUACUGCGGUGCUUGAGGACUGGAGAGGAGACUGGAAUUCACGGUGUAGCAGUGAAAUGCGUAGAUAUCGGGAGGAACACCGGUGGCGAAGGCGGUUCUCUGGGCCUUACCUGACGCUGAGGAGCGAAAGCGUGGGGAGCGAACAGG
rnacentral:rRNA from 1 species